AGAGUUUGAUCCUGGCUCAGGAUGAACGCUGGCGGCGUGCUUAACACAUGCAAGUCGAACGGACUUAUUUUCAUUGAGGCUUCGGCGGAUUUGGACUUAAGUUAGUGGCGGACGGGUGAGUAACGCGUGGGUAACCUGCCGUAUGCUGGGGGACAACAGUUAGAAAUGACUGCUAAUACCGCAUAAGCGCACAGUAUUGCAUGAUACAGUGUGAAAAACUCCGGUGGCAUACGAUGGACCCGCGUCUGAUUAGAUAGUUGGUGAGGUAACGGCUCACCAAGUCGACGAUCAGUAGCCGGCCUGAGAGGGUGAACGGCCACAUUGGGACUGAGACACGGCCCAAACUCCUACGGGAGGCAGCAGUGGGGAAUAUUGGACAAUGGGGGAAACCCUGAUCCAGCGACGCCGCGUGAGUGAAGAAGUAUUUCGGUACGUAAAGCUCUAUCAGCAAGGAAGAAAAUGACGGUACUUGACUAAGAAGCCCCGGCUAACUACGUGCCAGCAGCCGCGGUAAUACGUAGGGGGCGAGCGUUGUCCGGAAUGACUGGGCGUAAAGGGCGUGUAGGCGGCAUUGUAAGUCUGGAGUGAAAGUCCUGCUUUCAAGGUGGGAAUUGCUUUGGAGACUGCAGAGCUUGAGUACGGAAGAGGUAAGUGGAAUUCCCGGUGUAGCGGUGAAAUGCGUAGAGAUCGGGAGGAACACCAGUGGCGAAGGCGACUUACUGGGCCGUAACUGACGCUGAGGCGCGAAAGCGUGGGGAGCGAACAGGAUUAGAUACCCUGGUAGUCCACGCGGUAAACGAUGAAUGCUAGGUGUAGGGGGUAUCGACCCCUCCUGCGCCCGAGUUAACACAAUAAGCAUUUCGCCUGGGGAGUACGGCGCAAAGUUGAAAAUCAAAGGGAUUGACGGGGGCCCGCACAAGCAGCGGAGCAUGUGGUUUAUUUGACGCAACGCGAAGAACCUUACCAGGUCUUGACAUUGAUGCAAACUUGUAGAGAUACAAGGUGACUUCGGUCAGCAGAAAACAGGUGGUGCAUGGUUGUCGUCAGCUCGUGUCGUGAGAUGUUGGGUUAAGUCCCGCAACGAGCGCAACCCUUAUUGUCAGUUACUAACGGGUGAUGCCGAGGACUCUGACGAGACCGCGGGGGACAACUCGGAGGAAGGUGGGGACGACGUCAAAUCAUCAUGCCCCUUAUGACCUGGGCUACACACGUGCUACAAUGGUGACUACAAAGAGCAGCGAACUCGUAAGGGCAAGCGAAUCUCAUAAAAGUCAUCUCAGUUCGGAUUGUGGGCUGCAACCCGCCCACAUGAAGUUGGAGUUGCUAGUAAUCGCGAAUCAGCAUGUCGCGGUGAAUACGUUCCCGGGCCUUGUACACACCGCCCGUCA
rnacentral:rRNA from 1 species